rnacentral:lncRNA from 1 species
ACCAGAUUUUCAUGAAGCAGCUCCCCUAACUCAGAGCUGGGACUCAGUAAUCCAAGUCCCAUGCAAAUCCCAUUUUACAGACAAGGAAACUGUGGUUUUCAGAGGGCGAGUGUGGCAGAAUCAGACCACAUGCCCCCUCAUCCCAUCUUCUCCUCCUGGGCACAUGGGAAGAUGACAUUUCCCUGGCUCUCUGGCCAUGAAUUGGGACCACAGGACUGGUUCUGGACCAUGGGAUAUGCACAGGAGUCAUGCCUGCCCCCCCACGCCUGAGCACAAGCCCCCAUUCAACCUUCCACCCUCUCUCUUUCCCUUCCAUGUUCACUGUGAAGGCCCUGUUUCAAGAUGGCAGCAUCUAGAAAUGGAAGGAGCCAGCGCUUGACUUGCUGCCCGGGAGAGGCCCCAUAGACAGAGACAUAGUCAUGUCUCAUAGACAUGAGACAAACCUCAGUGAUGUCAGGGCACUGAGCACCUAAUGUCACUGCACAAAGGGCACAAUCUGCUCGCUGUGAGACAAAAGCCAAAGGUCAAGAGGCAAGCUGGUGGCAGAGAAAGAGUAUUUUAUUACAGUUUGCUAGCAAGAGGGAAGAUGGCUGACUAAUGUCCAAAAAAACCAUCUUAAGCAGGGCACAGAAUCCUGAAGCAGUUAUAUGGGCCAAUGGGUUAUAGGGUAGGGGCUUAGGAAUGUUGACCCUCUGGUGUUACAGACUGGGAGUGGCCACACCAGGUCUUUCAGUUUUCAUUGAUGAUGGCUAUCAGCAGAAACUCUCUCUUUGGGGAUCAUCACAUUCCUAAGGAACUCAAAAGAAUGAAGUUAUUGUCUUAUCACAGCUGGAAGGUAUAUGCACAGGCAGCGGUCACAAAAUCUACAGAACAGGCACUGGCCCCAUGGCCAAGUGGUUGGGUUUGUGCACUCUGCUUUGGCAGCCCAGGGUUUUGCCAGUUCAGGUCCUGGGUGCAGGCAUGGCACUGUUCAUUGGGCCAUGCUGAGGUGGCAUCCCACAUGCCACAACUGGAAGGAUCCACAACUAUGUACCAGGGAGCUUUGGGGAGAAAAAGGAAAAAUAAAAUCUUUAAAAAAAUAUACAGAACAGGUGGAUCUCCUGGAGGGUGCAAAUCCAGCUGGGUUAGUUAGUCAGAGGUCAUUCAAAGUUACAACAUGGUUUCUUUUCUACAAUAUGGCUUCCCUUAUGUCAACCUUGUGUUGAGCUGGUUUCAAUUCCUCCUUUUUGUUUUUCAUCCCUCAAUCUUGAGGGACACCCUGUUGAUGAGGGUCAUAGGUUGUUCCAUCUCAUGGAACCAGUCUCUUAGUAAGACGGUGAUGCAGGUGGGCUCCCAUAGUUAGGCCUAUAUUGGGUAAGCAGGUAACCAGAUAUUUAAUAAGAAGCAUUUCUACAGAGACAAAAAGAAAAACAAGGUUAAUGGUGGGAGCAAAUUAUAAACCAGUUUCUGAGCCCAGGGUCAGCCAGUCAAGAAAACUUCUAGAUGUCAGGGUCAAAGCAUCUUUUGCAGUUUGAAAUAUCCCUGAUGAUGCCAUCAGGUGUUCAGGUAUCUUUCUGAGGAGCUUACAUAGCAACAGCUAUGAAUAUCUCUGAAGUUUAUAUCAAGUCCUCGAGUUUCAGCUUGCAAGGCUUCAGGAAAAAGGGCAGCUUCAGUUGUCAAUGAUUCCAAGUGAAAAUGAUGGGAAAAAAUUAAAAUCAUUAGUUCAGAGAUUUGUAGCCAGAUAUUUCAAGAGACUAGAAGAAUUUAGGACCCAGUCCAGUAAACAGAUACAAACAAAAGCUUCAAAGGCAAAUAACAGAACUAGAAUCUAAUAUCCAUGAAUGCCUACCAUAGUUUCUACUGAAACAUAACUUUUUUCUCUAAAAUCACCCUCAUUUUUACCAAAGAUAGCCAACUAAGACUCAUUGGUUUGCAAAACAAGGCUAGCAUUAAUAAAAUUUAAUUAAAUUAUUUACAUAAGUACAGCAAGAAUAACCAUUGAUCAUAUAGGCUCUUUAAAAUCUGCUUUGCUGCAACUUUUUACAAGAAAUCUCAGGUUGUAUUUUAAAGGCCUCUCAAGGCCAGCAAAGCUAAGCCAAGGAUUUGUCAUCAGGCUUCACCUGCAAUACUUUAGAUUUGGGUGAAUUCAUCUCAUCUCAUGAAGUUCCCCAAAAGUAUUUCAAGGUCCAAGCACCUGCCGGAUAAGUGACCUUCCUUACUUACCCGGGCUGCUGGAAUCCUUGUAAACAAGGUACCAGGCCAAUAUUUCCAAGUGGCUUUAUUUCAGGAAGUUAACCUUUAUUCCUCAAAAACUGUCUUGUCAUAUCUGAGUCUGUAUAUUUCUCUCAAAUAUGACAUUCCAGUCAAAGACUUGGUUAAAUGACAGAUGUUUCCAAAUGUGUCCAGUUAUAGGGAGAGAAGAUUCUUAUUGAACUUAUACAAAUAGCUAUGCUGCCGUGAAAAUAACCAUACUCUCUCACUCACUAAGAGUUUCCAAAUUCUGGAGGGAUCAGGUAGGGAGAAAAAGAUAAAUGUUUCAAUUCUGCUCAUAAAGGUAUAAUUUCACCAAGUUGCUAUAAGUCAUAGUUAGCAUAAGAGAAAACAGAAAAAGAUUUCCUUAAAUCUGAGAAGACAAAAGAAAACAUUUAAAAAAUCAACAUUUCAAACAAAAAUCAUAAAAAUUAUAAUCAUCUUCAUAGGUUCCACAGUCCUGUGUAAUCGAUUCUUGACCUUAAUCUUCUGUCAGCAGUUUCAUGAAGUCAUCAGUUUCUCUAUUAGAGUUCUGUAAUUUCUUACCCACUUCAGUUUUACAAUCUGAAAGUUUGUCGGAAACCUGUAUUCUAGAGUGUCAAAGUCCUUUCCAUGAAUUUCUCUGAAGAUGAAACAUAUUUUGCAAAAGCAUCAGAAUAAAAUAAUAACUGCCUAUAAGCAACAAGAUCCCAAAAUGGCAACUGAUAAAGAAAUGUGGUUAAUUUUGUGACAUACAAUACUUUAAAAUAACAACCAGAAUUAUGGCUGACAACCAGGACUGAUCAGAAUUUUAGGAAUGUUAUGUAAUUUUUAAAACAUUUAUAUCAAUAACAAUUACUCAUAUAAUACCACCCUAGAAAGUUUAUCAUCACUUAUUUAACAAUGCUUCCCAUGUAAUUGAACAUACCAAAUAAGCCUAAUUACCUUAGUGUCUUCCUCCUUAUAGGAAGAGAGAGCAAAUCUCUUUGAGAAGUCUCAGGGGCCCUCUGAAAAUCCUCAGAGAAAUUCUCUUCCUUCUUCCAGGCCAAAAGAAAGCCUUUAUUCAGGAUUUAAAUAUUUUGGCUGGAGGGAACUUGUCAAAAAUAUCAAAAGGUUUUAAAACACUUGGUCAAAUAGGAAACAACGCUCGCUCUAUUCAAUCAAAGUGACAACAGAAACAGUCAAGGGCAAACAGUUAAAACAGUCAAAAAUCUUAAUAGAGAGACCUCAGUCUUUCUGAACAUAGGAAACCAUUUUAACAAAACAGAUUUUCUGUCUUUUACAUAGACUUCUUCAAAGAAAAACCUUUUAUAAAUUCUUUAUCAAGAGCAGACCAAAAGUUCAAGAAAAUUAUCCUUUUGAGAGAGAAAAACAAAUUUUAAUUUUGCACCAACUCAUAUUUUUUUUACAUGAAAAUUCAUUUACUUAAUUGGAUUUACUUUAAUCUUAGCCAACUUGACCAGCAUAAAAGUUCUUUCAGAAUUUCUCUUUCACAAACCUUCUAUAACUUUCUUUUUACAUUCAGAAUUUGUCCCAUGCUUUCUUUCUUCCCUUCUAGUACUUGACAACAAAUUUAUCUUUCUUAACCCAACAAACAAAAAUACUCCCAAUCUUUAUACCUUCUUUACUGAAAACAUACAUUUUACUUCCCUUAGAUAUAAAGAUGUUUGCCUUAUUAAUUUCUAGUAGCUUUAAUUACAUAUAUUAAUUAGAAUUUUUAACCCUUACAGACCCUAGUAAAAACUAAAAGCUAAGCAAUUAUGAACUGUCUUUUACAUUAGCAUUCUGUGGCCUGGCAAAUUUAUAAAUACUUUUUAUAACUUCUAGAAACAUGCUACUUGAUGGUACAAUCUUAAUAAAACACAAGACCUGUUUACUAAUAGACCCAAACAUCUUUUAGUUUUUUUGUAGGAAGAAACCAAAAGUAAAUAAACACAGACAUGUCUAAUGAUAAUGUUUCAGUAUUUUAUCUUAUUUGAAAAAUGACCCAGAUAUUCAGUGAAUUUUUUAUCUUUCAAUUUUACCUAGCGACACUUCGAAGUUUCAGGUUACCAGAAAGAUUUUGGAAGUUAUUUUAAAAUAUGCAUGUCAUAAGCUAUAAUAAUUGCUAAAAGUUUAUCUACAAACUCUUAUCUUGCUUUUAUCUAGACCAUUUGUUUGUAACAAUCGUAUUUAGAUUACUCACAAAAACUUCAUACGACACUAAAGCACUUAGCCAUCAUCUUGUUGUUUUAAGUGCAUGCAUUAAAAAGUUUCCCCCAAAACUUUUACCCUUUUUACAUUUAUUCAGCUUGCUUGCUUCUAAUAAUUACUUAGAUUGCCUACAAAACUUCAUGAGACAUUAGACAAAAUUAGCCAUCAUUUUAAGUUAUUAUUUUUGCUAACCAGUUUUACGGUAGAGAUAACAUCAGCUUGUUUGACCAAUAAACCCAUACAUGUCUGCAUCAUAUCAAAACACUGACAAUGCUAAGGACAUGCUUAUUUCAAUCAAACUGACAAUCUUAAAUAAGCUUUCAGUUACCAAAAAUCAAUUUUACAUCUUGUAACUUAAAAGACAUUUGGGUUAAUUUCUUUUCCAUUUAGAAAUAAUUUAGGUAAGCACUUCUUUUAAGCCAAUUAAACAGAGCUCUUAAUUUUUGGCCAUACUAUCUGGAGGUAAAAAUAUCACAGACAUAUAACAUACAUAUGGAUGCACAUACACAUAGACUGCACAGCUAUUGUUUUAAAAUUACUGCCAUGAAUCAGGUACAAGGUUCCCUAGUUAUGAAUCCAACUUUUUGUAUUAAGCCUUUUUACUAAUAUUUGUGGAGAGGAUACUCAAGAUGCUACAUUUUUGGCGAGGGCACUCUUCUGGCUAUUUUUCUUGCUUCUGCCCCCUUUUUUUUUCUUCAGUCCUAGGAACUAGUGAUGGGCUAGAUAUUCCCCAGAGGAUUCGCAGGCUCUUUGAGAUAAGGGAAGUGGGUGGAACCUGAACUGCCUCUAGAGCUGCCUUUCCAGUCUUGCAAGGAUUUUUUUUUCAAGGAUAGUUGUUCUUAAUUUCUCAGAAAUUGGGUUGUAACUUAAAUGACAUUACAGGUUGAUCUACCCAUCCAGCUACAUCACAAAGGCACAGAGAAACCACUCAAAUUUUCUCCAAGAUAGAGUUUCUGGGGCACAGUUGCCUUAUCAGUUUUUUAACAUUCCAAUAUCUACAAGCAUUUGUGGCUUAACUAUGGAUGCAAGAGGCGUCCCCACAAGAGAGUGCAAAAGAAGCAGCCGUCACAAGAUCUAGAAACUUCACUCCCAAAAACAGUCCAAGAAAGCAAAGGCUUCUGCUGCAUAGAUGGUAGUGCACUGACAAGCAACAAAGGUUGAGACAACAGAGGCCUUUGAUGGACUGGGACCCCUUGUGACCAGAGAGAUCACAAAACCAAGCUCUCAACACACACCAGUAGACAAAAAAAAAAAAAAAAAACCUCAUCUUAUAUGCACAUUAACUGUUUUAGCUAUGCUUUGGGUCUCUUAGAGCCAGAAUAACACCUAGGAGGGAGGUGACACAGGGUUGGGGAUUGUGUAUUCUUUACAAAGUACCUACUCAUUGCACAGACAUUUUCUUGAAGUUGGCAGGGGGACCUGUGUCAUCUACCCCAUUCCGUGACCAACUCAUCCUUUCAUGGGAGACUUCUUGAGGUGGUGAGCGCCCUGAUGGCACUUACCUGCUCUAACCAUGCCCACCAAUAUUGCUUGCAGCCCUUUGGGCUCCCAAGAUGCCCUUAGCAACAGUUUCUACCUUAUGUGCAUAUUUCGUAGGCGGGCCCUGCAGCAAAGCCUACUGCGGCCACCCAGACAACAGGCUCAUGGAGUGUCUGCAUCUUGCUCUAUGGUUUUUCCUUUUUAUGACAGAUGACACACAAACAGAAAUAGCAGCUGUCUCUGAGAGGAGAAGGGUCAAUACAAUGAGGACUCAGUAUUUUAGCUUGGAGCUCAAAGCCACCCAACUCAGGAGAAUGCAGCCUAAGGGCCUACACGUGGGGAUCGAAUUAGUGUUUGCCGUUGUUUCAGAACUUAAGCAUUGUUGGCAAAAAGUAUAUUUAUGCUGCAGCUAGAAUCAGAUUGCAAAAAUUUCAAACAUCCCUAAAAUCAAGACCCUAACAAUGAAAGCCCAGCCAAGACUUUCUUCUAAUGACCAGUGUAAUUCCCCUGAGGCUGACAGUGGUUCGGUAGGACUCUUGGCCACAAACAGGAGUGCAAGCUGCAUUUCUGUCUGAUUACCUCUUAUUGCAAAAUGGGAUGCAACCAUAUUUUCGUCCAACUGUAUUUUGGAACAUUCCCCUCCCCCACAACCUGACAGUUAUCAAGCCGAGCCCUCAGGACACAAAACAAGCUUGGCAAGAUUCUCCUGUUCUCUGUAAACAUUUACAGCUUCCGGAAACUCUCUGUUGACAGGUGGAGCCCUUGACUCUUUAAAGAUUAGAGAUUUUUCCUUGUUCCUUGGUUUGGAGGCUCAAAAAGAGCCCAGAAUGGCCAGUGUAAUUUUAAAUUUUCCCAGGUCAUCUUGCCAGUUGUUUACAGUUAUCACCAUUUUAAAGGGCUUUUCCAAGUUGGCCGCAACAAACAAGAUAAUUUCUAAAGAGAGUUUGUUAAGAUCACUGAGAAACUCAUCCUCCAAACAGCCAAUUUUAACAAAUAGAACACUCAGACAUAGACAAUCUUUCUGGGACUCUAACCCAGAGCUCAGGACGCUAACCUGAUCCUUUUGAGGGCCCCGGCGGCUGUAACCGCUUUAUAUUGUCUCCCACAAUCCUGGUCUUGGGACUUUAACCCAGCAGCCAAAUCUCACCACUGGGGCCUCUAACCCACAAUCUGGAUGAGAUGUUAGACAAUUUUAGGCAAGGUCAUUCACUCAAAAGACAUCUGAUCCUGGAGCUCUUUACAGACACAGACACAAACACAAACACGGAAAAACCAGAUACCAGUGAACCGGUUCCUAGAUUUCAGGUGAAGUCCUAUGCCUUUUCCCACUCCAGGAGGGAAACAAAUGGUCCCCUUCUCCAAGAGGGGACCCCAAAUGGGAGGGAAGGAAAGUUCUUGGUGAUGCACCCCCAAGGUGACUUACCCUACUCCAGAUGUGAGCCCGUCGACCCCCCAGAGGUAGCCAUUUCUCUUUCCACCAUAGGGAGCGUUAGGAGGCAGCUGGUAAUGGCAUGGGAGAGCAGGAAAAGCAGAUCCCUGAGACAAAGGGCGUCUCAGCGGCCACAAGGGACUUACCCAACAGGCUGCCCAUCCCAGGUUGACUGGCCAUGAGCAGGACUUAUUGCCCUUUGCGGUCGCCAGAUUUUGUUACCGCACAAAGGGCACGGUCUGCUUAUUGCGAGACAAAAGCCAGUCGUCAAGAGGCAAGAUGGUGGCAGAGAAAGGGCAUUUUAUUACAGCUUGCUAGCAAGAGGGAAGAUGGCCACCCAAUGUCCAAAAG